UGGUAUGAGGUCUCUGUAUCUGUUGCCAUC
rnacentral:piRNA from 1 species